CUCCCACCUUGAUGAUAAUGGACUGACCCUCUGAACCUUCUGCGCCCCAGCCCACAGGAUGGCUCCGUUCAGUGGAGGUAGACUUUUCGGUGAACUCGUCUGGAAACUUCCUCACAGCGUGCCCAGAGGUUUGUCUCCUAUGUGAUUUUACAGCCUGUCCCGUUGAUAAUAUUAACCACCACAUUGUUCAUCAGGCAAGCCACCCUGGACAUACCCACCUGCGGUAACAUCAAACAGACCGGGCCAGGUUCCCAAGAGGCCCCGCACGCCCCUCCUGAUUUGCAGGGGCUUACGGUGGAGAGACGGCGAAGUCGCUGGCUUCAUGACCACAUUUGGAAAAGCAUGACGGUGUGGAGAAGAGGGCUGUCGUACGGAAGCAUUUCCUGACGUAAAUUUGUUUGGAUUUGGAUGAAGCAACUGAAGGGAGAGAAAUCCACUCUUUCUGCUCCCUCACCCUGACCGUGACUCAUUACUUAGCACAGACCAAAUGGUUCCCCACCUCCCAGGGAGGACGCUCUGAGCCCAUUACAUAAGUGGCUUCCACAGCUGCUGCUGGUAAUUGAAAGUGAAGCUCUUCUGAUGUGGGGCCUGCUGGGAGUGGCGUGACUCUUUCCUCACCCCGUGAUACCAUCUUUACGGGAGAGGCUCCCAGAGCCAGGGUGUGGUGUGUGUGUCGGGGGUGUUCUGCACAGUAGGCCUGACUUCUGAAUAGCUUGUGCUUUCUGCCUUGUUAAAACGUGGCCCUUCCACGUCGUCGUCUCUGAUCUUAAUCUCCCAAACGAGCUGGAGCUGAGCUUCAUGAGGCAGGGUUUGCCUGGCUCAGCAAAGCCCAGGAGGAAAUGCGGCUUGGGGUUUCUAUGCCCAGAGACCCACCCAAGUAGGACCACCCAGGAACACUGUCUCUGGGCAAGAAGUUGCAAGAGCUGUGCUUACGUAAAAGAUCUCGGGAGAGGGAUCCUGGACAUCGGAGCUGACUUGCAAGGCCCAGGGCAAAGGAGACUGGGUCGAUCUGGUUCUGGAAGGAAGUGACUAAAUGACUCUUGAAAAACCUAGGGGAUCCUGUCUAGACCCCACCAUCCUGGCUUCCACACUGGUGUUGCCAGGGAGUUUCUGUUAAGGAGUGUUAUGGGAAGCCAAACAAACUCUGACGUAUGUUCACUUCCAGGACCUAUUUAAUGCAGAGAUGGUGGGCUGUAAGACCCUUGGAAACCCAUGCCCACAGGGGAAGUCUGCCUGCUGGGAUACCCAGACUGAAGGUUAGCUAAGAUCAGGCACCAUUUCCAGUUCCCUAGCAAGACCCUGUUUCACUGGACCUCAGUGUACACUUCAGCUUAACUGCGGGAUAGCAGUAGGGGCAGGGAAAGGCAAUUUUAGAUGAAGAAGCACAUUGAACACUGGCUUAGCAGUGCUGGGGGUGGGGUGCUUCAAGAAGAAUGUUCCAGAACACAUCCCAACACACAGAGACUGCGGUCCUAGAGCUGACUGCCCCGUGACUCUCCGGAAGGCUGGUGAAAUGGGUACUUUUGUAAAAAGGGGAGAGAAGGGCACUACUGGAUCAGCUGUUGCCGGGGUUUACAGGAUAGAGAAAGACCCCAGCCUCUUGACAGCAAUUGACACAGCGCUCUGGGCUUACCAGUUCCCUUCUUGGUUUGUUGACAUCUGACUCUAUAAUGACACAGGCCCAGGUUCUUGAGAGAAAUAGCAGUAAGGUCAUGAGGGGAGCCUCAUGUAGUAUGACUGGAGCCCUUACAGGAGAAGGUAUCAAAGAAGGAAGGCUAUGCAGUGAUAUGGGGUGCCCUGCCAUCUGCAAGCCAGGCAGAGGGGUUGCCAGAGAAACCUACAGGCUGGCCCCUGGGUCUCAGACUGAAGCCUACAGAGCUGUGAGAUAUUGGGUCUAAUUUCUGGCAUGAGCCACUGGUAUAGGGCUCUUCCUUUGGGGCAGCAGUGCAGAGAGUGACACUCGGUGAUGCAGUAACCACCACAAAACUGGGGCCUGGGGUCUUUGGCUGUUCUCCCUGGCAUGAGGCCUAGACCUCCCUUGGAUGUUCUCAGAAGACAUAUAUGAGGUCUGCGGAGUCUUCCUCCCAGCUAUGGUCCCCCAAGGAAGGAAGGGGGUCAAGACUGCUCUAGUCAACUUGAUGGGGGAAAAGUAAAGAGACAGCAAGGCCUAGAAGGAAGUGAGGGUCUUCUGGAAGCCCUCAGCUGGAAACAGUUGUGUGAGAUUUCAGUGUUCUUUGGUGUCUGCCCUCCCUAGAGCAGUGGCGUCAUAGGUGUCCUCCUAUGGGUAAAAAGAGUCUGAGUUCAAGAUGUCUUUCAAAAUGUACAGAGUAAAAGGCCCUGGGCUUCUCUGGACAUGUCCCGAAGUACUCUGACCUAAGCCCUGCCCCAUGUGGUAGGGCCCAAGAGAAACUUUUAGUACCAUCACUGCGUUGGAGAAAAAAGAAACAGAAAACAGAAAAAUGUUAAGAAAACAGAGCCACCACCGUCGACUUAGGGCAUGCACCACUAUCAAGGUAAAGUGGGCCGUAAAGAAACAAUUAGAUCCUAAGCCUAUAGAUACCAGCUAAAUCCAGCUGUAACUGCCUCGUAAACUUGGAACUUCCGACACAGCCUCAAGAACCCACUCUCUCCCACGCGCUGACGGUGUGCCUGGCCUUGCGCCAGUCGCGAAGCUGGAAACUUCCCGACUUAAACAACAUCUGGGUGUUUCUGCAUCCUCUGAGCUGCGCAUGAGGGUUGAAAGUUUAAUAAAUGUUUGCUUCUCUCA
rnacentral:sRNA from 1 species